AUACGGAGGAUCCAAGCGUUAUCCGGAAUCAUUGGGUUUAAAGGGUCCGUAGGCGGGAAUCUAAGUCAGUGGUGAAAUCUUGCAGCUCAACUGUAAAAUUGCCAUUGAUACUGGAUUUCUUGAAUUAGUGUGAAGUGGUUAGAAUGUGUAGUGUAGCGGUGAAAUGCAUAGAUAUUACACAGAAUACCAAUUGCGAAGGCAGAUCACUAACACUAUAUUGACGCUGAGGGACGAAAGCGUGGGGAGCGAACAGGAUUAGAAACCCGGGUAGUCC
rnacentral:rRNA from 1 species